rnacentral:rRNA from 1 species
CUCAGUAACACGUAGUCAACCUGCCCUAGAGACGCUGACAACCCCGGGAAACUGGGACUAAUCGGCGGUAGGUCACCUCAUCUGGAAGGAGAGAUGGCUCAAAGGGGUCUUGCGAGCUUCUUUCGCAUGAUCCGCUCUAGGAUGGGACUGCGGCCGAUCAGGCUGUUGGCGGGGUAAUGGCCCACCAAACCUGUAACCGGUACGGGCUUUGAGAGAAGGGGCCCGGAGAUGGACACUGAGACAAGGGUCCAGGUCCUACGGGGCGCAGCAGGCGCGAAACCUUCGCAAUGCGCGAAAGCGUGACGAGGUUAGUCCGAGUGGCCUCCGCUGAGGAGGUCUUUUGUCGGCUGUAAAAAGGCCGGCGAAUAAGGGGAGGGCAAGUCUGGUGUCAGCCGCCGCGGUAAUACCAGCUCCUCGAGUGGUCGGGGCGAUUAUUGGGCCUAAAGCAUCCGUAGCUUGUUCCGUAGGUCUCCUGGUAAAUCCAACUGCUCAACGGUUGGCCUCCAGGAGAUACCGCGGGACUAGGAGGCGGGAGAGGUGGACGGUACUCCACGUGUAGGGGUAAAAUCCUUUGAUCCGUGGAAGA